rnacentral:rRNA from 1 species
UACGUAGGUGGCAAGCGUUAUCCGGAUUUAUUGGGCGUAAAGGGAACGCAGGCGGUCUUUUAAGUCUGAUGUGAAAUACUCGGGCUCAACUUGAGUGCUGCAUUUCAAACUGGAAGUCUAGAGUGCAGGAGAGGAGAAUGGAAUUCCUAGUGUAGCGGUGAAAUGCGUAGAGAUUAGGAAGAACACCAGUGGCGAAGGCGAUUCUCUGGACUGUAACUGACGCUGAGGCUCGAAAGCGUGGGGAGCAAACAGG